ACAAAAUCUACAACAAGCCUUACGUUUCCUAGUAGCCACAUUAAAAAAGUACAAAGAAACAUGUGAAAUAAGCAUUAAUAAUACCGAAGAGCACACGUCAGAAC